GGGAUUAGUGGCGGACGGGUGAGUAACACGUGGGAACGUGCCCUUUGGUUCGGAACAACUCAGGGAAACUUGAGCUAAUACCGGAUGUGCCCUUCGGGGGAAAGAUUUAUCGCCAUUGGAGCGGCCCGCGUCUGAUUAGCUAGUUGGUGAGGUAAAGGCUCACCAAGGCGACGAUCAGUAGCUGGUCUGAGAGGAUGAUCAGCCACAUUGGGACUGAGACACGGCCCAAACUCCUACGGGAGGCAGCAGUGGGGAAUCUUGCGCAAUGGGCGAAAGCCUGACGCAGCCAUGCCGCGUGAAUGAUGAAGGUCUUAGGAUUGUAAAAUUCUUUCACCGGGGACGAUAAUGACGGUACCCGGAGAAGAAGCCCCGGCUAACUUCGUGCCAGCAGCCGCGGUAAUACGAAGGGGGCUAGCGUUGCUCGGAAUUACUGGGCGUAAAGGGAGCGUAGGCGGACUGUUUAGUCAGAGGUGAAAGCCCAGGGCUCAACCUUGGAAUUGCCUUUGAUACUGGCAGUCUUGAGUACGGAAGAGGUAUGUGGAACUCCGAGUGUAGAGGUGAAAUUCGUAGAUAUUCGGAAGAACACCAGUGGCGAAGGCGACAUACUGGUCCGUUACUGACGCUGAGGCUCGAAAGCGUGGGGAGCAAACAGGAUUAGAUACCCUGGUAGUCCACGCUGUAAACGAUGAGUGCUAGUUGUCGGCAGGCAUGCCUGUCGGUGACGCAGCUAACGCAUUAAG
rnacentral:rRNA from 1 species